GCUCAGCGCUAAAGAACAAAAUUUCAUUGAAUUUUGUUCGGUGUAGCGCCUUUAAAAAGCUAAUCAAGCAUUUUUUACAGAAUCGAAAUUUCGCUGGAACGCGAUUGCAAAGAUGGUUUUACACCAGUACGAUUUUGUUGAAUGUUUGAUGUGUACUUUUUAGAGUCAAGUUGUUUGGAAACGCAGCUCAAAGUGGGUGGUAAACUUCAUCUAAAGCUAAAUACGGCUACAAGACCGAUAGCAAACAAGUACUGUGAAGGAAAGUUGAAAAGCACUUUGAAAAGAGAGUGCAAGAGAACGUGAAACCGUUAUAGUGGAAGCGGAUGGAGCCAACGUAUCAGUAUGUAUUCAGCUUAUGUUAAAGGCAAGUUGUUGAAAUUGCAAUUCUGUAAAGUUUGCUUUUAACAAUUUUAUUGUCUUUAAUGUGGGUGCAUUUGCAUACAGAGUGCGCCGAAUCAAUUGAUCACGUUGUUGGAAACUAUUAAAGAGGACUCAAUUAUGAGAAACCUGUAAUAGUGAAAGACAAAUGAGAUUAAUUGUUGAUUUAAAGAGUUGGUGAAUUCGUGGUAGUUGUUUAAGAUUUGAGUGAUUUUUGUUGGAUACAUGUAUUCUGCAAUUUUGACUUUUUUUUUAAACAAUUAUUAUUCUGUUCUUAAUUUCGGUGUUUAGUCGGUCACCCAUUUGACCCUUCUUGAAACACGGACCAAGGAGUUUAAGGUGUACGCAAGUCAUUGAAUUGAAAAAAUUCAAAGGAGUAAUGAAAGUACGACAUUUAAUGUCUUGGUGUGAUCCAAAAUGAUUAAUACUAUUGUUGUUUUGGAGCAGCAUCAACCCAUGACUGGAAUUAAUUCUGUUGUGGAGUUGGAGCGUACGCUUUGAGACCCGAAAGAUGGUGAACUAUGCCUGAACAGGACGAAGUCUGAAGGGACUCUGAUGGAAGUCCGAAGCGGUUCUGACGUGCAAAUCGAUCGUCUGAUUUGGGAUAGGUAGCGU
rnacentral:rRNA from 1 species